rnacentral:lncRNA from 1 species
GGCAUGUGUGUACCGAAAAUUGGACGGCAGGGGCUUAUGUGGACGCAAAGUAUAACGGAGGGCAUAGACGUACCAUUUAUCAAAGUUCGGGGGUAAAUUCGUCCUUUUUCCCUUCUUAAUGACAUAAGUGAACUACACAGAGGUCUCUUCAUUCGUUAGGAGGGAAAAUUCCUUUCUCUGCUUUAAAGAACUUCUCUUGUUC